CCUACGGGAGGCAGCAGUGAGGAAUAUUGGUCAAUGGACGCAAGUCUGAACCAGCCAUGCCGCGUGCAGGAAGACGGCUCUAUGAGUUGUAAACUGCUUUUGUACGAGGGAAAACGCAGCUACGCGUAUCUGUCUGAAAGUAUCCUACGAAAAAAGAUCGGCUAACUCCGGGCCCGCAGCCGCGGGAAAACGGAGGGUUGCAGCGUUUUCCGGAUUUAUUGGGUUUAAAGGGUGCGUAUGCGGAAUGCCAAGUCAGCGGUAAAAUCGCGGGGCUCAACCUCGCUCCGCCGUUGAAACUGGCGUUCUUGAGUGGGCGAGAAGUAUGCGGAAUGCGUGGUGUAGCGGUGAAAUGCAUAGAUAUCACGCAGAACUCCGAUUGCGAAGGCAGCAUACCGGCGCCCAACUGACGCUGAAGCACGAAAGCGUGGGUAUCGAACAGGAUUAGAUACCCCAGUAGUC
rnacentral:rRNA from 1 species